ACAACGGAUGUCGGCGCCAUCUUGUAACAGAGAAUGUGGGGGCGGCUCCCCACAGGAAACAUCCUUCAAGGCUCUUUGAGAUAAAUAACAUAAGACAGUUUUCUCAGUUCAACUGUCUUAGAAUCUACCUGACUAUACCAGUGGAGAGAGGCCUACAGGCCUCAGCUUGGCAUUGGCCUUCUGAUAACACAUCGUGGUUUUUCAGAAAAUGGACCACUAUCAGCAACCAAGACGCAAAAGAGAAGGUUUAACCUCAGUGAAAACCCUGGAAUAUUUGGCAACCAAUAUAACCCAGAGGGAUUUGCCAUAUCAACAACAACUUCUACAGUCUAUGCCCAGACUGAGGUUCAGAGACUCACAUGUGCACCAGGAGGCAAGCAAGAAAUGCAGUAGGACUGAAGUUUGAAUUCAUGGAGGAAGUACAUGUCAGACAUUGAUUCUGCAAACAAAACACAUGGGCAAUAUCAACACAAUAUGAUGGGAACUUUUCAAAUUAUUUUCCAGAUUGGGCUUCUGGUUUUGUUAGUGAAUGUGUAGCAUCUAGUUACAAAAUACUGUGUCAGGUCUCACUGUGAACAUAAGUAGAAGCAGAUGGUUCCGUGCUGAGUUAUAAUGCUUUUUAAAACCUGUGGAUUAGGAAGAGUUUUAAUUGUCCAUGUAUCAAUGACUUCUGUUUUAUAUACCAAAGUUAAAUUAAAAAGCUUGAUUUAUUUUUAUUUUUGAACCUUUA